AAAAGUCGUAACAAGGUCUCCGUAGGUGAACCUGCGGAGGGAUCAUUACACAAAUUAAAAUAUGAAGGCUUCGGCUGGAUUAUUUUUAUCACCCUUGUCUUUUGCGCACUUGUUGUUUCCUGGGCGGGUUCGCCCGCCACCAGGACCACACCAUAAACCUUUUUUUAUGCAGUUGCAAUCAGCGUCAGUAUAACAAAUGUAAAUCAUUUACAACUUUCAACAACGGAUCUCUUGGUUCUGGCAUCGAUGAAGAACGCAGCGAAAUGCGAUACGUAGUGUGAAUUGCAGAAUUCAGUGAAUCAUCGAAUCUUUGAACGCACAUUGCGCCCUUUGGUAUUCCAAAGGGCAUGCCUGUUCGAGCGUCAUUUGUACCCUCAAGCUUUGCUUGGUGUUGGGCGUCUUUUGUCUUUGGCCUCGCCCAAAGACUCGCCUUAAAACGAUUGGCAGCCGGCCUACUGGUUUCGCAGCGCAGCACAUUUUUGCGCUUGCAAUCAGCAAAAAGGACGGCAAUCCAUCAAGACUACAUUUUUACGUUUGACCUCGGAUCAGGUAGGGAUACCCGCUGAACUUAAGCAUAUCAAUA
rnacentral:rRNA from 1 species